rnacentral:rRNA from 1 species
AGAGCGAACGCUGGCGGCAGGCCUAACACAUGCAAGUCGAGCGCCCCGCAAGGGGAGCGGCAGACGGGAGAGUAACACGUGGGAACGUACCCUUUGGUUCGGAACAACACAGGGAAACUUGUGCUAAUACCGGAUAAGCCCUUACGGGGAAAGAUUUAUUGCCAAAGGAUCGGCCCGCGUCUGAUUAGCUUGUUGGUGAGGUAACGGCUCACCAAGGCUACGAUCAGUAGCUGGUCUGAGAGGAUGAUCAGCCUCACUGGGACUGAGACACGGCCCAGACUCCUACGGGAGGCAGCAGUGGGGAAUAUUGGACAAUGGGCGCAAGCCUGAUCCAGCCAUGCCGCGUGGAUGAUGAAGGCCCUAGGGUUGUAAAGUCCUUUCGACGGGAAGAUAAUGACGGUACCCGUAGAAGAAGCCCCGGCUAACGUUCGCGCCAGCAGCCGC